UACGUAGGGUGCGAGCGUUAAUCGGAAUUACUGGGCGUAAAGAGCUCGUAGGCGGUUUGUUGCGUCGGCUGUGAAAUCCCGAGGCUCAACCUCGGGUCUGCAGUCGAUACGAGCAAACUAGAGUGUUGCAGGGGAGACUGGAAUUCCGUGGUGUAGCGGUGAAAUGCGCAGAUAUCAGGAGGAACACCGGUGGCGAAGGCGGAUCUCUGGGCCAUUACUGACGCUGAGGAGCGAAAGCGUGGGGAGCGAACAGG
rnacentral:rRNA from 1 species